AGAAGAAGACUAAGUUUCCCAUGAGGCAAUGGGAAACGCUCGCUAUAAAGUCAGCAGCCCCACGUCUGGCGUUCUUCUUUGGCUGCAUGGGGAUGGUAGUAGAUGUGGAGUGUAUAUGGUCUGCAACUAUGGCAAUUCCUCAGCCACGUGACUUGCCGUGGGUGUGCUGGUCAGAUUCUGUCCGCCAGGAAUCCACUGCAGUUGUCUGAAUGGGUGCAACUGAGAUGCUGCUGUUGAAGAUGUAGGUCAAAUGAUGCUGUCAAAGGUGAAUCAACUCCGUGGGCUGCAGCACGCAAAGCUCCGCCCAGCCCGAUGAGCAGCCAAUGAGGCGGCAAGCGCAACUGCGCCAUGAUUGGCGGGAGGAGCAUGGCUGGCUGUGAACCUCUAAGGUGGAGCCCCCUGGUGGCUGGAGGUCAUAACUCAUUGCGGCUGUUCUCUCCGCCGAUCGGGGACCCUGGAGGGUGUGCCCAGAGCAAGGUCUGGAGUCGCCUGUUCUCUGACUACGAGGGGAACAGUCAGCCCUCCUUGUGCCGGUCCAUCCUGCACACUGAAUGUCAGUUGCAUUCGUGAAGUGAAUAAACUCCAUUUUUAAAUGCC